rnacentral:rRNA from 1 species
AGCGAACGUUUGCGGCGGGCUUAACACAUGCAAGUCGAACGGGCUGUUCCUUCGGGGGCAGUCAGUGGCGCACGGGUGCGUAACACGUAGGUAAUCAACCCUCUGGUUGGGGAUAACACUUCGAAAGGAGUGCUAAUACCUGGUAUGGCGCAGCGGUCUUCGGAUCGCGGCGAGAAAGACCCGCAAGGGUUGCCAGAGGACGAGCCUGCGGCCCAUCAGCUAGUUGGCGAGGUAACGGCUCACCAAGGCGAAGACGGGUAGCUGGUCUGAGAGGAUGAUCAGCCACACUGGAACUGAGGCACGGUCCAGACUCCUACGGGAGGCAGCAGUGGGGAAUAUUGCGCAAUGGGCGAAAGCCUGACGCAGCCACGCCGCGUGAGCGAUGAAGGCCUCGGUC